rnacentral:rRNA from 1 species
GACAGAGGAUGCAAGUGUUAUCCGGAAUCACUGGGCGUAAAGCGUCUGUAGGUGGUUCAAUAAGUCAACUGUUAAAUCUUGAGGCUCAACUUCAAAAUCGCAGUCGAAACUAUUGGACUCGAGUAUAGUAGGGGUAAAGGGAAUUUCCAGUGGAGCGGUGAAAUGCGUAGAGAUUGGAAAGAACACCAAUGGCGAAAGCACUUUACUGGGCUAUUACUGACACUGAGAGACGAAAGCUAGGGUAGCAAAUGGG